rnacentral:rRNA from 1 species
GUGCAGGGCGGGCGUGCUAUACAUGCAGUCGAGCGGACAGAUGGGAGCUUGCUCCCUGAUGUCAGCGGCGGACGGGUGAGUAACACGUGGGUAACCUGCCUGUAAGACUGGGAUAACUCCGGGAAACCGGGGCUAAUACCGGAUGCUUGAUUGAACCGCAUGGUUCAAUUAUAAAAGGUGGCUUUUAGCUACCACUUACAGAUGGACCCGCGGCGCAUUAGCUAGUUGGUGAGGUAACGGCUCACCAAGGCAACGAUGCGUAGCCAACCUGAGAGGGUGAUCGGCCACACUGGGACUGAAACACGGCCCAAACUCCUACGGGAGGCAGCAGUAGGGAAUCUUCCGCAAUGGACAAAAGUCUGACGGAGCAACGCCCCGUGAGUGAUGAAGGUUUUCGGAUCGUAAAACUCUGUUGUUAGGGAAAAACAAGUACCGUUCGAAUAGGGCGGUACCUUGACGGUACCUAACCAAAAAGCCACGGCUAACUACGUGCCAGCAGCCGCGGUAAUACGUAGGUGGCAAGCGUUGUCCGGAAUUAUUGGGCGUAAAGCGCGCGCAGGCGGUUUCUUAAGUCUGAUGUGAAAGCCCCCGGCUCAACCGGGGAGGGUCAUUGGAAACUGGGGAACUUGAGUGCAGAAAAGGAGAGUGGAAUUCCACGUGUAGCGGUGAAAUGCGUAGAGAUGUGAAGGAACACCAGUGGCGAAGGCGACUCUCUGGUCUGUAACUGACGCUGAGGCGCGAAAGCGUGGGGGAGCGAACAGGAUUAGAUACCCUGGUAGUCCACGCCGUAAACGAUGAGUGCUAAGUGUUAGAGGGUUUCCGCCCUUUAGUGCUGCAGCAAACGCAUUAAGCACUCCGCCUGGGGAGUACGGUCGCAAGACUGAAACUCAAGGAAUUGACGGGGGCCGCACAAGCGGUGAGCAUGUGUUUAAUUCGAAGCACGCGAGACUUACAGGUCUUGACAUCUCUGACACCCUAGAAGAUAGGCUUCCCCUUCGGGGCAGAGUGACAGUGUGCAUGUGUCGUCAGCUCGUGUCCGUGAAAUGUGGGUAGUUCCGCACGAGCGCACUUGAUCUAGUGGCAGCAAUCAAUGGCAUCUAAGGUAACUGCGUGACAACCGAGAAGGUGGGAUGACUUCAUCAUCAUGCCUUAAGACCUGGCUACAACAGUGCUCAU